rnacentral:lncRNA from 1 species
AACUGCAAAAAAAAAACCUAGAACAUUUUCCACCACACCCGUCCUACCUACCAAUUAAAUCUAAAUAUUAAAUUAGCACACCUUAGUGUCAGGACAUCAUCAACAUCCAUAGAUCAGAUUACUUUCGGACUUUGAAUGACUGUAACACGUGUUUGCAACCUAACUUCUUAUAGUGACUAGUUUUCUACUUUAAUUCUGAAAUAACCAAAGUACAAAUUAGUAAAAUUUAAUUUUAAGUUACUUUUGUGAAAAAGUUGCUGAUUUCCGAAUUCAUAGUAGGUUGCAUUAGUGGGUUGCAUCAGUAGGUUGUCCUGCAUCACAUUUAGACAAUUAGGGUUCAUUCGUAGUAUUGCAUAUCAUAUCACCAGUUAGGGUAGCUCCUGUAUGCCCACCCGUAGUGGUAGAGAGUACCUCCUCACUGACUCUCAGACCCCUUCA